AAAUAAUUUUGUCACGAUUAAUUAUCGGCCCAAAGAUUUAUUUAAAAGCCCAAGACUUAAUUAUUUACCUCACCUCUUACUUCUUAUUUAAUUUAAAAGCCCCAAUUAAACAAAUAAAGGAGCCCAAUCUAGCAACCAUCCCAUUUUAACUAAUAGGCCCAAGAAAAUAAGUAAAAGCCCAAAUUCUUUUAUCAAUACAAUUGCCCAAUUUUGACUCCCAUUUUCCCCAAAUCGGUCAACUCUCUCUCCCUCUAUCUUCUUUCUUCUCUCUCUACCCCCUCCCUCCAUCGCAGAAGCCCUCCCCCUUCCGUCGCUCUCUCUCCGGCUCGACGCUGCCGUCAGAGCUGCCGCGGCGGUCGCCAGGAAGUCGCCAGCUGCUGCUGCCUCGCCGCCUCUGUCCGUCCGCCGUCGCAGAGUCGCCGGGAGAAGCUGCUGCCGCAGCGAGGAGGAACGCCGCCGUCGCCCGCUGCAGCUCGAUGGUGAACCACCGAUGCUGCCCUCUCUCCGACCGUUCUCGCCAGCCGCCUCUUCGCCGGUUUCGACAAGCAAGAGAUUGUGAAUUUAUCCUCGGCAGAAGUGUGCUCCCAAGAUAAAACUCUCUAACCUUUUGAUUAUUAUUGAAUUCAUUUUGGGUUUUCACGUUUUUGGAUCUACUUCAGCAUUUCUUGUAAUUUGGAAGACUUGAAGGUGAAACAUACUAUUAGGCUAGGUGUUGUAAAUUCCAAAUUUAGGCAGAUUAUAUCUUCGAAAUUGUAUAUGCAUGCUUGUACAUAGAUGAAAGAAAAGAAAGGCUUGGUGUUUACCUUUUGAUGUGGGAACAAAGUAAAGUGUUGUUGGAUUGUAGAGUAUGAUCCUAUAAUCAUCUGAAAUACUCCCCCGUCCCUGAUUCUUGUUCUCCCAUUCAAUUUGUUGGUGUGUGUGAAGAGAAGUUUGGGUGUUCGAUACUUGUAAAGACUUUGGGGUUAUAUAUAGUUGUCAUCCUUGGACAAGUUGCAAGCUAUGAUAUAAAAAUCUCCUAUUUUGAUACGGUUUUGAUCUCUUGCACAGAUUUGAUAUCUUACUUGUUUACUUGGCAUAAUCUACCCCCUCAAUCUCCUUAACAAAUCUUGUUAUGAGAUAUGCAAAGAUGAUAUGCAUUAAAUGCAUACUACCCACUUGCAAUAUCCUUAUAUUUUAUUUGAUAUAAUGUGUGAGUUAAAGAAAAUUAUUUGCAUAAAUGUAUCUAUACAUAAUAGAUGGCAAGUGGCGUAUCCUUCAAAUAUUUUGUCAGAGAAAGAUGGCUUCUACUGCAAUCUAUUAAUGCAGCAUUUAAUGCAGUGUCCGAAAAGAUCGAUCCUCUAUGAUCUGCCCUCUUUUUUUUAUUAAUGUAAUUAUUUGAGUAUUUGUUCACUUGUUUAUUUAAUUGGUGUAGGUAUAAUCGGUUCAAGUUCGAGGCUGUCCUCGUUGAAGUACCCGAUUUUCUUAAAACGCAGGAUGUAUUAAAUUUUGUUGGACUUUUGUUGGAUGUAUCGGACAUCAAGAUUUUGAAUUUUAGGAUCUUAUUUAUUUAUUCAUUUAAAUUUAUUAUA